rnacentral:rRNA from 1 species
GUCUACGGCCAUACCACCCUGAACACACCCGAUCUCGUCUGAUCUCGGAAGCUAGGCAGGGUCGGGCCUGGUUAGUACUUGGAAGGGAGAAAUCCAGUAAUGAAAUU